ACCGUCGUGAUCUAAUGGUAAGGCAUCUGUCUCGGAGACAGGUGGUCUUUAGUUUGAUCCUAAAUGAGGUG
rnacentral:tRNA from 1 species